rnacentral:tRNA from 1 species
GGGCACAUGGUCUAGUGGUAUGAUACUCCCUUCGCAUCUCCGACUGUGUCUGGGAGGGGUCCGGGGUUCAAUUCCCUGUGUGUCCA